rnacentral:rRNA from 1 species
CCGCAGCAGCCGCGGUAAUUCCUACGGGAGGCAGCAGUGGGGAAUCUUGGACAAUGGGCGCAAGCCUGAUCCAGCCAUUCCGCGUGAGUGAAGAAGGCCUUCGGGUUGUAAAGCUCUUUCGCAAGGGAAGAAACGAUGCAGUCGAAUAAACUGCGUUAAUGACGGUACCUUGAUAAGAAGCACCGGCUAACUACGUGCCAGCAGCCGCGGUAAU